CUGGUACUCCCCAUAUCACCUCCCCCCUUCGGCUACUCCUGCCACGGGGUGGGGGGGUGGGGGGGGGGUUGGAGGCCUCUCCCAAGGAGAAGGGAAACCUUGACAACAUACCCCUUCAAGUGUUCCGUCCCGAGAAUUUCAAGGACCCAGGCCUUCCAAGUCACAGAAGGCUCUGACAGCUCCCCUAGGUCAGUAGAGGGAUGACCGCGAGAACCAGAACAAACCUGGCUAGAUGACAAGGGAAGGCCCAGGGAAUGAAGGGCAUCCAGUGGUCAACACAUAGUCUUCAAACCACAGAAGAGAAAGAGAAAAUUUAUGACCCACACUGGUGGCUCUUAAACGAUGCUGAAUGGAGCCCUUCAGGGUACAGAGUCCUUUACAAGAUGUCAGGGACGCGGACAGCAGGCACAAGGAAAAGAAAAAAAAAAGACAAGUUUUGGGCCAUGAGAACAGCCCUGCUUGCUCGGCCCUACACCCUUGCGCUUCCCUGGGCCUCGGCUUUUAUUGGUGUUUUGUCUGCGAUGGGCUUUGGCCACAUAAAUGUGAAUGAAAUGAGUAGGCAACACCGUCCUGGGCAGAGAGGAAACUGCAGCCCACUGCGCUGUGGCCUGGUCUUACCCAUCCCUGCAGGAGUGAAGGAAGAGAGAAGAGGAAGAAGAGGACAGGAGUGAUGGGGACAUAAAUAAUGACAAAUUCAGACAUCCCAGCAGUCAGGGGGCUGAGGACUGAGCCAAAUAUGAUUUAGAAAAAUAAAUGAGACAGUUCUUACACCCAAAUG
rnacentral:lncRNA from 1 species